CCUGCCGUGCCCCACCCGAGUCAGGGCAUCCUUAGAAACAUCUCAAGACUUGCUGGAUGUUUGAAGGUCUCUCUGGAUUCCUGGCAGGUGGUCUGAUGCUUGAAGGUUUCCCACAGCUGGAUGGGAGGGAAUUCAGGAUGGAAGCACUGUGGUGGCACGGAUCUUGACAAUCAGUGUGGUAUCUCCUGUGCCCAGAACAUGCAUGGCACAGG